rnacentral:rRNA from 1 species
CCUACUGGAGGCAGCAGUGAGGAAUAUUGGUCAAUGGGCGGAAGCCUGAACCAGCCAAGUAGCGUGCAGGAUGACGGCCCUACGGGUUGUAAACUGCUUUUAUACGGGAAUAACGCGCCUUACGUGUAGGGCUUUGCAUGUACCGUAUGAAUAAGGACCGGCUAAUUCCGUGCCAGCAGCCGCGGUAAUACGGAAGGUCCGGGCGUUAUCCGGAUUUAUUGGGUUUAAAGGGAGCGUAGGCCGGAUGUCAAGCGUGCUGUGAAAUGGCCGGGCUCAACCCGGGCCUUGCAGCGCGAACUGGCGUGCUGGAGUCCGCGGAAAGCAGGCGGAAUUCGUGGUGUAGCGGGGAAAUGCUUAGAUAUGACGAAGAACCCCGAUUGCGAAGGCAGCUUGCUGCAGCGGAACUGACGCUGAUGCUCGAAAGCGCGGGUAUCGAACAGGAUUAGAUACCCCAGUAGUC